rnacentral:rRNA from 1 species
GAUGAACGCUGACAGAAUGCUUAACACAUCUGCAAUUGAUUGGUGGCGGACGGGUGAGUAACGCGUAAAGAACUUGCCUCACAGGUAGGGACAACAUUUGGAAACGAAUGCUAAUACCUAAUACUGUGAGAGAGCUUUGCGUCCCAAUAGCUAGUUGGAGAGGUAACGGCUAACCAAGGCGAUGAUGGGUAGCCGGACUGAGAGGGUGAUCGUCCAGAAGGGGACUGAGACACGGACCAUAUUCCUACGGGAGGCAGCAGUGGGGAAUAGUGGACAAGGGACCAAAGUCUGAUCCAGCAAUUCUGUGUGCACGAUGAAGUUUUCGGAAUGUAAAGUGCUUUCAGUUGGGAAGCGGUACCAACAGAAGAAGUGACGGCAAAAUACGUGCCAGCAGCCGCGGUAAUAG